ACAAGGUUGUUAUUCUGCAGUCUCUUUUCUUUAAUCCAUUGUCACUCACUUACCUCUCAUAACUUCUAGGUGACAUGAAGACUAAGUUACAGCAGCUUCCUGAGCAACCAUCAUGCAUGCUGGACCAUCCUGGCCUAGAACCUGUCUGCCUGAAUGUGUUUUCACUGCAGAAUGCACUGAACAUUUAUCGGGCAGACUACGGACCUUUACGUCUGAGGGGAAUAGAGCAGUUUGUACAGGGAUGUUUCCUGUCAGAGUGCUGAGACAGAGUGAGGAGUGGAGGUACUGCCCUGUAUCUAUAGAUCCUCCCUCCAUAUCCCUCAGAGGUGCCCGCCCUGUCCUAAUUCUGUAAGUGGAGAAGAAAUCAGGUUUGUAUAGCAGAGAAGAAGGGAGAAGAAGGUCCUGUGGUCGAAGGAGAUCCUCUCUCCUGCUUCAAGCUUUUGGCAGGCUGCCUGCAUCCAGUGCUGUCCCCUCUCCAGCAGACACUCAUGGUGGGACUUCAACCUCUCCUGAGACCUGACAUGCAUCACACAUUCACAGCGGCAAUCACCCGUCGGUCGCCCUCACCGCCUGAGUACCUAUACCGGGAGGUUGCCAGUUGAGCGGUUGUCACACCGAGAUGUCAUCUCAGCCUUCAGACAGCCGGUUGGUCAGCCUGCGUUGUCUGGCUUGGUUGGAGGAAUGACCUGCAGCCCACACGGCCCUUUGUGGAAUCGUUUUUGACGUGUCUCUGGCAGUAUGAAAUGCAUUUUGUGUCACCUGCUCUCUGUCUUAAGCAUUUACUUG